GCCAGCCCAUACACUUGAAGGGAUGGGUGUAAAGCAGAGUGAUUGAGAGGAGGGAGCCUGGGUGAGUUGGGAGGGAUGCACACUUGGUGCAGCCCACAGAUCCUCGGCUUUUUGGCUGGAAGGAAAGGUGCAUGCCGGGCGGAGUCAGUGGUGAUGUUAACGCUCCCUGCCUGCCAGGCUAGGGUGCUUGUGCUUGCUCCUCCAGGCUCCACACCAACUGUUUUCUUCUGUGUUUCUAUCUUAGGUGACCAGUGCUACGGCUUAAUGAAUUGGAGCUGGGAGUGUGUUGCUCAGGCACUUCCAACCCAGCCCACGGGUCUCUCUAUUCAUAGCUUCAGAGCAUGAUUAAGCUCAGAUGCAGAAGCAGCUUUAAUUAACAUCAGCCUUUUCCCAAAAUAGCCCCUCCCCUGCCUCACAGGUGCCCUAGAACACAGGACAGGCACAGACAAGGGAGGUAAGAGAGAGCAGAGGCCCUUCUGUCUGCACAACCCUGAGCAGAUGAAUUUCUGGCCUUCUCAUGCAGUCUUGGUUCAUUGCCCUGGUGGGUCUCCAGGCUAAAGAGAGAGUAUCUAUUCCUCCUUUUCCUCUUUCUAGUCUGUAUUUCCAACUGGCCACCAGGUGUCACCAGUGCCAGUCACAUGGCCUCUUGCAGGCCUGAGAAGUGAUGGGCUGGGAUGGGGAAGUAUGGAUGAGUGAACCUGGCCAGCUCUGCUCAGCCAGCCUAAAUUC
rnacentral:lncRNA from 10 species